AACAAACCGAGCAAGAGUGCACGUAGUUCUUGCCUGUUUAAGGAUCUUUUUCCUUUUUCUUCUUUUCUUUCUUUUCCUUCUUGCUCUU
rnacentral:ribozyme from 12 species